UACGUAGGGGCAAGCGUUGUCCGGAUUUAUUGGGCGUAAAGAGCGUGUAGGCGGCCAGGUAGGUCUGCUGUGAAACUCGAGGCUUAACCUCGAGCUGUCGGCGGAAAACCAUCUGGCUAGAGUCCGGAAAGAGGAGAAUGGAAAUUCCCCGGUGUAGCGGUGAAAUGCGUUGAUAUCGGGAGGGAAAUACCCGUGGCGAAAGGGCGGUCCCACUGGCAUCAACUGACGCU
rnacentral:rRNA from 1 species